GAUGAACGCUAGCGGCAGGCCUAAUACAUGCAAGUCGAGGGGCAGCGGGGUAGCAAUACUGCCGGCGACCGGCGCACGGGUGCGUAACACGUAUGCAACCUACCUUAAACUGGGGGAUAGCCCGGGGAAACUCGGAUUAAUACCCCAUAAUACAUUUGGAACACAUGUUUUGAUUGUUAAAGAUUUAUCGGUUUAAGAUGGGCAUGCGUUCGAUUAGCUAGUUGGCGGGGUAAUGGCUCACCAAGGCUACGAUCGAUAGGGGGUCUGAGAGGAUGAUCCCCACACUGGUACUGAGAUACGGACCAGACUCCUACGGGAGGCAGCAGUAGGGAAUAUUGGUCAAUGGAGGCAACUCUGAACCAGCCAUGCCGCGUGUAGGAAGAAGGCGUUCUGCGUUGUAAACUACUUUGAUUGGGAACAAAUGACUCUUGCGAGAGUAGCUGAGUGUACCAAUAGAAUAAGCCACGGCUAACUACGUGCCAG
rnacentral:rRNA from 1 species